CAGUCGCCGCGGUAACACGUAGGUGGCAAGCGUUGUCCGGAAUUAUUGGGCGUAAAGGGCUCGCAGGCGGUUUCUUAAGUCUGAUGUGAAAGCCCCCGGCUCAACCGGGGAGGGUCAUUGGAAACUGGGAAACUUGAGUGCAGAAGAGGAGAGUGGAAUUCCACGUGUAGCGGUGAAAUGCGUAGAGAUGUGGAGGAACACCAGUGGCGAAGGCGACUCUCUGGUCUGUAGCUGACGCUGAGGAGCGAAAGCGUGGGGAGCGAACAGAAUUAGAUACCCGAGUAGUCCCUGUCUCUUAUAC
rnacentral:rRNA from 1 species